ensembl:lncRNA
CCUGCUUGCACAGCAUACCCUCCAGGCAGAGUGCCCUCGGAACCCAGUAAUGAAGUAAUAAAUAGAUCCUAAUGCUGUUGUGAAGUCACCCAAGAAAAUUGUGCCCACUCUUGGCUCUGAACUGUAUAAAAUACCUCUUUCUUCAGGAUAUCUUCCCCUGGUUUUCUGCAGAGUAGCUCUGCAGCUAAAUGUAUCCCAGACAAGUGUGUUAUGUUUUGAUCAAUUACCUUUCAACACAUGGUAUCUUUUCACUUUCUGGAUAAUUAGCUUUUCCUGUAGAUUCUGAAAUGGUUUGCAGCCAGGCCAAGAUGGAACUAGGUGGGGUGACCAAUGAUUCAAGAGCUGGAAGGGUCCUUAAGAUCUGCUUAUCCAAUCCCCUUAUUUUAUCAAAGAGGAAGCAUACCCAGAGAGGGGAAGGGACUCACCCAAGCUCACACAGAAAGUUAAGUAGCUGAACAAGAACUAGAACUCAUCCAUUUGACCAGUAUUCUUUCUAUUACUAUUAUUCACCACUAAUCUGCAUGGGGCAUGGUAUCUGCCUGCUUCUGCUGGAGCUUUGAUUUCACCCCAUUCCUGCUUUGGGAUAUACUAGAAGAUAGAACUCAUGGAGAGUAUUUCUCUGGAAGCCUCAUGAUCUUAGGGUUUUUUUGCAGCCCCCAUAGGAAAGGUGUAUUGACAAAAUUCAUACAUUUCUUUGGACAUCUAUCAAAACUGCUUUCACCAAAUGAAUGUUUUCUAAAAUGAGGAUGGAAUGAUAGUUAUAAAAUGGAACUCAAACUGAUCAGUAAGUACAGUAAAGCUCUGAUUAUAUUACCUACCGGGUCCAUUUGUUUUUCUUUUUUCUUUCCUCCCAGCCCUGGUAUUUAUGCCUACCCCAUUCACCCUGAUGAACCACAUGGGAAAGAUUUAAGCCAAUUAGUGUCUUUCCCAUACAUGUUUUCCUCACCUGUAUGUGCUACCUCUGGAAGCCAUUUUCCAUAGCCCAUUGUAGGCACUUUACUUGUAUUGCACACAUUCUGAUUAGGUUGAGAGUAGCUGGACUAGUGGUGCUUGUCAUACAGUCAGCAGAAGCUCUGGGCUGUAAAAGAUAAAGAAGGUAGGUGUUUAAUUUAUUUGCUUUCUUCUAUGAGGAUUUUGUUACUGAGUUUCAUUCCAUGCCAACUUUCCAUGUACUCCUAUCCUGCCAGUUCAUGAAAUGCCAUUGUAGAAGACUUGGUGAUAUGAACAAGUCACGUCCAUGCAUUUAAGAUUUAUCCUAUCAGACAAUUGGGGUGAAAACCUAGAGAGGGGAUUGAUGCGUUCCUGGAACUUACCUGGAACCACUCUUGGGAAUCAUUAGCAGAGCCUGGGGAAAGGAAGCAAGGGAAACAUUGUUGGCCAAUUCCUGUUUACUUCCCACCCCCACCCACCCGCUGCCCCGCCGAUGCCUGAGUCUACAUGAUCAGCAUCAGGGAGACAAGAGGUAAGCAAACUAGAUCAUUGAGGACCCAGGGACACCUCCAUGGGAGAAUUUUGGGAGCUCUGCUGUUCCUUUGGCAUGCACUGUCCAGAUAAUCGUCUGGUCUCUCCUCUCUGCUGCCCUCCCAGUGCACGGAUAUUGCUAAAGUGGUUAGGUUUUAUGUUUUUUGUUUUUAGCUUCCAAUCAUGAGAAAUGGAGAUGUGAAGAGGCAUUUCUUUAGCGUUAUCAUUUUGUGUGGUCUGUGACAAGGCGGGUUCUGUGUUUUUGCUGGGGUUUGUCCUGCAGCAUUCAACUGCACAUUAGUCUGGUGGAAAUCCACAAUGUCUUUAAGCUUCUGGUUGUAUAAUUCUAGGGUUUAAAGUUGCCAUAUGUGGAUUUGGCAUCAGUUAAUAUUUAGCCAGCUGGCUAAGAGAUAGGAAAAGAAUAAGAUUUUCUUUCCUUAUGUAAUAAUGAAAAGCAAUAAUUACAAGUAUGUAAUAUUACACAAAGGCCAUAAUUAGUCUCUUCCAGUGUUUAGAAUGCACUCGAGAAUCGUAGAGUCGUUUGGAGUGUGUUUGGACCCAUCAGUAUGUACUGUAGUACCCUUCUGGCAAACAAAUACCUGAAUUGCUACUAUUGAACAAUUUUAUGAGCCCAUACUACUGCAUUUUGGGAAAUGACAAAUGUGUUCAGAUGUGUUCAGAAAUGGAAGCAGUUCUUUUUAAGCACUGUAUCAGAGAGAUUGUCAUGUAAAUUUACCUGUUACAAACAGGCUGGUUUGUAAAAGAUGUAUGUUUCGGUGUUAAAAUGUUUAUAAAAUUGUAUAUAAUGGUUUCAAUUUUCCAGGCUUUUGUAGAUAUACUGUAUUUGAUGCCUAUCAGGAUACUUUAAUUUGGGGGGUUGAAUAUAAUGUUAAGUCACCCACGCUGUUGGUCUGCAAACUAUUGAGGUAACUACACACACACACACAUAAAGCAUUUUAGAUUUGAAAAUGGUGUUUUUGAGUCAUUUCCAAAUGUUCUAUAGCCUUUCUUUGGUUCCACUGUUUUCAUUUAACUUUCUCUGUUUCCAAGAAAAUGUUUUUAUUGACAUUUUAAAAAUCGAGUGUGUUUUGCCCAGUUACUAAGUACCUGAUUUGUAUGCCAUUUCAGAUUCAGAAUGAAGUACAUCAUUUCUUCACACUCACAUACACUCACCUCAACUUGCACACACAUCACACACCAAACCUUAUGCAAAGGGAAAGCUAACACUUAAAGUGGAUCCUGUCCCUUAUGGAAAUGAAUUGUUUCUGCAUAUAAUGCUGUUGGCAGUAUUCAGUCUUGUGUUCUUUUUCUAAAAAAAUGAAAGAAAAACAAAAAAGAUAACAACAAAAAAAACCCACAAAAAAACAAACAGUGUACAGGUUUGUAACUGCCAAAAUUUGAUGGUUAAACAAAUUUUCAAGUAAAAAGAAAAAAUUGAAA